rnacentral:lncRNA from 1 species
AAUAGUUUAGGCCGUCAGAGCUCGGUCGAGGUGGAGAUGUUUUAUUGAAGGUGCACACUGCUGAGUCCUUAAUCAUGUCCACAGACCUCGACCUUCCAACCAACAGUUCCUCAAAGAGCGUCUAAAUCGGGCCUCGGAUCCAGUUAAAUCCUUAAUUUACUUUAACAUGGCUUCGAGGUUUUACAAAUAUGAAAGAGAUACAAAAUUGGGCCCG